rnacentral:rRNA from 1 species
GAUGAACGCUGGCGGCGUGCCUAAUACAUGCAAGUCGAGCGAACGGACGAGAAGCUUGCUUCUCUGAUGUUAGCGGCGGACGGGUGAGUAACACGUGGAUAACCUACCUAUAAGACUGGGAUAACUUCGGGAAACCGCAGCUAAUACCGGAUAAUAUUUUGAACCGCAUGGUUCAAAAGUGAAAGACGGUCUUGCUGUCACUUAUAGAUGGAUCCGCGCUGCAUUAGCUAGUUGGUAAGGUAACGGCUUACCAAGGCAACGAUGCAUAGCCGACCUGAGAGGGUGAUCGGCCACACUGGAACUGAGACACGGUCCAGACUCCUACGGGAGGCAGCAGUAGGGAAUCUUCGGCAAUGGGCGAAAGCCUGACGGAGCAACGCCGCGUGAGUGAUGAAGGUCUUCGGAUCGUAAAACUCUGUUAUUAGGGAAGAACAUAUGUGUAAGUAACUGUGCACAUCUUGACGGUACCUAAUCAGAAAGCCACGGCUAACUACGUG